GACAGAGGUGCCGAGCGUUAGGCGGAAUCACUGGGCUUAAAGCGUGUGUAGGCGGACUUCUAAGUGCCUUGUGAAAUCCCACGGCUCACCCGUGGAACUGCUGGGCAUACUGGGAGUCGUGAGCCACUUAGGGGCAACUGGAACAAACGGUGGAGCGGUGAAAUGCGUAGAUAUCGUUUGGAACGCCAAUGGUGAAAACAGGUUGCUGGGAGUGUGCUGACGCUGAGACACGAAAGCCAGGGGAGCGAACGGG
rnacentral:rRNA from 1 species